CCUACGGGUGGCAGCAGUGGGGAAUAUUGGACAAUGGGCGAAAGCCUGAUCCAGCCAUGCCGCGUGUGUGAAGAAGGCCUUCGGGUUGUAAAGCACUUUCAGUGGGGAAGAAAGCCUUGGGGCUAAUACCCUCGAGGAAGGACAUCACCCACAGAAGAAGCACCGGCUAACUCCGUGCCAGCAGCCGCGGUAAUACGGAGGGUGCGAGCGUUAAUCGGAGUUACUGGGCGUAAAGCGCGCGUAGGCGGUCUGAUAAGCCGGUUGUGAAAGCCCCGGGCUCAACCUGGGAACGGCAUCCGGAACUGUCAGGCUAGAGUGCAGGAGAGGAAGGUAGAAUUCCCGGUGUAGCGGUGAAAUGCGUAGAGAUCGGGAGGAAUACCAGUGGCGAAGGCGGCCUUCUGGACUGACACUGACGCUGAGGUGCGAAAGCGUGGGUAGCAAACAGGAUUAGAUACCCCUGUAGUC
rnacentral:rRNA from 1 species